rnacentral:rRNA from 1 species
AGAACGAACGCUGGCGGCAGGCCUAAUACAUGCAAGUCGAACGCACUCUUCGGAGUGAGUGGCAGACGGGUGAGUAACGCGUGGGAACCUUCCCAAUGGUACGGAAUAACUCCGGGAAACCGGUGCUAAUACCGUAUAAGCCCCUCGGGGGAAAGAUUUAUCGCCAUUGGAUGGGCCCGCGUCGGAUUAGCUAGUUGGUAAGGUAAUGGCUUACCAAGGCUACGAUCCGUAGCUGGUCUGAGAGGAUGAUCAGCCACACUGGGACUGAGACACGGCCCAGACUCCUACGGGAGGCAGCAGUAGGGAAUCUUGGACAAUGGGCGAAAGCCUGAUCCAGCCAUGCCGCGUGAGUGAAGAAGGCCUUAGGGUUGUAAAGCUCUUUUGGCGGGGACGAUAAUGACGGUACCGCAGAUAAGCCCGGCUAACUUCGUGCCAGCAGCCGC